rnacentral:rRNA from 1 species
AUACAGAGGGUGCAAGCGUUAAUCGGAUUUACUGGGCGUAAAGCGCGCGUAGGCGGCUAAUUAAGUCAAAUGUGAAAUCCCCGAGCUUAACUUGGGAAUUGCAUUCGAUACUGGUUAGCUAGAGUGUGGGAGAGGAUGGUAGAAUUCCAGGUGUAGCGGUGAAAUGCGUAGAGAUCUGGAGGAAUACCGAUGGCGAAGGCAGCCAUCUGGCCUAACACUGACGCUGAGGUGCGAAAGCAUGGGGAGCAAACAGGAGUAGAAACCCCGGUAGUCC